AACGAACGCUGGCGGCAUGCCUAACACAUGCAAGUCGAACGGGAUCCUAGCUUGCUAGGUGAGAGUGGCGGACGGGUGAGUAACACGUGGGAAUCUGCCUUUUGGUUCGGGAUAACCGCGGGAAACUGCGGCUAAUACCGAAUGCCCUCGAGAGAGGAAAGAUUUAUCGCCAGAAGAGGAGCCCGCGUCCGAUUAGGUAGUUGGUGGGGUAAAAGGCCUACCAAGCCGACGAUCGGUAGCUGGUCUGAGAGGAUGAUCAGCCACACUGGGACUGAGAUACGGCCCAGACUCCUACGGGAGGCAGCAGUGGGAAUAUUGGACAAUGGGGGCAACCCUGAUCCAGCAAUGCCGCGUGAGU
rnacentral:rRNA from 1 species